ACAAAUCCAAAUCCAAAUCUUUAAGAUAGAAAGUCUCCUGGAGAGAGAACAAAGAAAGCCUCAGUGGCCACAAAAUAGAACUCAACUUCUCUGUUUCUUACAGACUUUCUCAACAAACUAAAAAGAGAGAAACAGGUAAAAAAAAGCUCGAGCAAUUCUUGGGAGUUCUUAGGUACAAGUCAUAAGUAGUUAACUACUUGGUACUUUCACUACACAAUCAUUUAAUUAUAUGAUUUGUUCGACUACAAACUCAUCUUAAACACAUACGACUAAUAUGAUGGGGAAGCAGAGGUCGAGAAAAGGAUAAAACCGCCUGCAAAAGAAGAGAGAAGAUCAUAAGUGUCAUCAUAGUCAUCCAAAAUGAAUAUAGAAAUCAUGCAAAGGAAUCAGAGGGCCAUGGAUAAGGUACCAGGGUCUGUGGGAACCAGUGCAAGCUUAGCUUUGAGGGUGGCUCAGACCAUCUUGUCCUCUGCUUCUCUUCUCUUUAUGUCUCUCGGUGUUCCCUUCUACAGCUAUACUUCCUUCUGGUAAAUGAUAUAUUUAAUAUCCUCUCUCCUUGUAAUGAUUUAGAUAAGUAUUAUAGUUACAAAUACAGAUAUAAUUUGGUAAUUUGUCUCAGAAUUUAAAAUUUUCUUAUCUGAUCUCUCGCUAGUUAAAAUUCUCAAGUUACCCACUAGUAGUAUACUAUAAUACAGCCAAGGAGGUCAGGGAGCCUUUUAGUAGCCUUUGUAGCAGAUUCUCUCUCUUCUUAAAGUCUGAUAUAUCACAUAUUAGUUAUCAUAUUGGAGCUGAAUCAACUUAAAAAGUUUUUUUAUUUUAAUUUUUUUGAUAAGUAAACAAGAAUAUUUUAACAGCACCAAAAGGGAGAUGACCAUGCACACACUAUAUGUUCACUGUAAAGUUAGGCAAUAUUCAAGUACCUCAAAGGACCAGCUAUAUCAGAGUCAUUAUGUUGGAUUUAAGUUGUAUAGCUUCGCAUUUGUUGUGGCUUCACCCCUUUAUGACAAAUAUUGGCGCACAAACCCCUUUCUUCUAUAUUUUUCGAGAAAGAGAAUUGAUAUAUGAUCUAUUCAAAGCUGUCACCGGUAUGCAAAUGAUGCAUAAUUAUUUUCGGAAAUAAAAUCAAACUGAUGCACUCAACCAAAAACUUUACGCCCUCUCGUUUACAAGGAGCUCAUCCAGAAAUAUAUACAAUUAAGCUCCUAGAUUAAGGUGGCCCAAAAAAUCUACUAAGGCCACAGUUGAAACUGGAAACACCUCUUUUGUCCAAAAGAACAAGAAGCUCAAAAAUAAGAAAUCACAUCCAGUGCAAUGCCUCAAACUUAUCUUCAAGAGUUCUGAUGUUGCAUAGAUUGUGCAGUUCAAUACUUGCAACUUAUGCACAGUGUUUUACAGCAAGGAAACAUAGGCUUUCUACUUGUCUUUGUGUGUAGUUAAUGUCUUUGGGUGUACUUCGUAAUUAACUACCGGUCUUGAUUAUUGUAUUAAAUGGAGUAAUUGUCCCUGAAUUAUAAUAUGAAUACACAAUUCAAGCAAACUUUCUUUAUUAGAUAAUUACUUUGUAUCUUUUAUACACAAGUCAAACACCAACCUAAAGCACCUAGGCGAGUUUCUUUUAGAACUCCAAAAAGCCUGAAUCUGAAGGGAGGCUAAUGUCAAACGUCUUGAAUUCGAUAGAUUGGUUUGUUGUCCAUAUGUAGAAUUUGGAUCCUCUCCAGUAAUCAAUAUGCUUUAUUUCUUGGCUGCACACAAGUUCAUUUCAGGAGAAAAAUGGGCACAAUAAUCUUACUACAUCAUCAAAUAUCUUAAAUUAUGUUGCAAUUUUUUCCCUAGAUAGUUUUUUAACGAGUAAAAAAUAAUAUUAACCCUUGUUAUUAAUUUUAUCAUUAGUCCAUUCUCUAAUUUAUUAAUAUUUGUUGCAACUGUUGUUUAUUCCACAGCUUCUUGGUAACAAUCAUGGGAUUGGUGAUCCCAUGGAGUUUUACUUUGGCACUGGUUGAUGGAUACUAUGUCCUGGUUAAAUGCCCUAUUCGUCGGCCGGGAAUGAGAAUACUGCCGUUCAUAAUUAUAGGGGAUUGGGUACGUCUUGGCAUUAACUUGUUUCUGAAAAGUCUGACAUGUUUUAUCAUAUGGGUAAACUACAUGUAACAAUUUCAAACAUUCUAUCAACGGCAGGUUUUAUCAAUACUCACACUAGCUGGAGCCUGCUCAACAGCCAGCGUUGUCGAUCUUCUACUGAGAGCAAAUGUGUCUUAUUUCCCUCCAAAGGUCUGCAGUAGAUAUCAGAUAUCUGCCGCGAUGGCCUUCUUGUCAUGGUCUUUAUAUUUGGCUUCAUCUCUUUUCAAUCUAUGGUUACUUCCCUAGUGAUUUUCAUUUCAGCUUUUCUAUUGUUUUCAGAAUUGUAUAACUUUGUGUAUAGCAGUAGAUUCUUUCACUAUUCUAAGUUUGCAUAUAGAUAGUGUCACCCUGACUAAAACUACUAAAUCUUGUUUAAUCGUCAAGGAACAUGGCAUUACUUGAUAAAAGACAACAGAGAUCUUUCAUAUACUUUCAAGAUACAUAUUUUUGAGAAAUUUGUUAAUGUCUUGGUGUUUGGAAGAAGCAACUUUGCCAUAGUAAUUUGAGGAUAUGCAGCUUCAAAUUUAGAUUUCAAUAUCCAGUUAAAAGGCAAAUAAAGUUUUGGUUUCAACUAAGACAAUAAUAAAUUGUAACCAAGACCACAUAGAAAUACAUUGUAAAAUUCUUCAUAAAUUAAAAGUACAAGGUACCUGUAGCAUGGCUAAAAGAGCUUCUGUUUUUUACAGCUUCUAUUCUUACAGCCGUUUAUAGUAUAUUAGGACUGUGUCACUGUAUUGAGCUAGACUUUUAGUCUCCCUCUCCACCCAGCCACGUGUAACAAAU
rnacentral:lncRNA from 1 species